rnacentral:misc_RNA from 1 species
UACGGAGGGUGCAAGCGUUGUUCGGAAUUAUUGGGCGUAAAGCGCACGUAGGCGGACUCGUAUGUCGAUUGUGAAAGCCCCAGGCUCAACCUGGGAAUUGCAGUCGAAACUGCGAGCCUUGAAUACCUAAGAGGGUGGGAGAAUUGCUGGUGGAGUAGUGAAAUACGUAGAGAUCAGCAGGAAUACCUGAGGCGAAGGCGCCUACCUGGUGGUGUAUUGACGCUGAGGUGCGAAAGCGUGGGGAGCAAACAGG